rnacentral:rRNA from 1 species
GACGAACGCUGGCGGCGUGCCUAAUACAUGCAAGUUGAGCGCUGAAGGUUGGUACUUGUACCAACUGGAUGAGCAGCGAACGGGUGAGUAACGCGUGGGGAAUCUGCCUUUGAGCGGGGGACAACAUUUGGAAACGAAUGCUAAUACCGCAUAAAAACUUUAAACACAAGUUUUAAGUUUGAAAGAUGCAAUUGCAUCACUCAAAGAUGAUCCCGCGUUGUAUUAGCUAGUUGGUGAGGUAAAGGCUCACCAAGGCGAUGAUACAUAGCCGACCUGAGAGGGUGAUCGGCCACAUUGGGACUGAGACACGGCCCAAACUCCUUCGGGAGGCAGCAGGAGGGAAUCUUCGGCAAUGGACGAAAGUCUGACCGAGCAACGCCGCGUGAGUGAAGAAGGGUUUCGGAUCGUAAAACUCUGUUGGUAGAGAAGAACGUUGGUGAGGGUGGAAAGCUCAUCAAGUGACGGUAACUACCCAGAAAGGGACGGCUAACUACGUG